rnacentral:lncRNA from 1 species
CCAUAUUGCCUCCGCCACGAAAGGGGCUUGUUAGCAUCCCAUGUUGCACAAAAAACCCUAGCAGCGUUGAGGUCCCAAUUGAUAUUUUGGGGAUUGUACAAAUUGUAAGUGGCCCUAACAUUAGAAGCACUCUGGGAGUCAGCCACAGCAACAAAGAGGGUAAACGAAACGAUGCAAAGAAUUAGGGGAACCCUUUCCAUUUUGCUAUUUUUUGUCACAAGUUCUUCUUCUUGUAAAUUUUGAUGUAUGUGGCUUGCAUUUAUAGAGAAAUAGGUAGAGAUAGCAAAGUCGAAGAAGGAAACUCCAGCCCAUUUUCACUGAUGUGCUGUCAAAUUAAGAAGAGGAAACACUGGCAUAUGGAAUCUAGUUCAUUGUCAUCCUCUAGAAAGUCUUCGUGGAAUAUAACAAUAAAGACAAGAAAAUUGAAAUUAACAUGGUACGUAAUGUCGGUCAGUGAUUAUCCGAGCUUGACUCAACUUAUCGUUUUGACCCCCAAAAAAAAAAUUAUCCGAACUUGGCUGCUUUUCAUGACUAGGUCAGUCAAGUCAAGAUGUUAAUUAUUUGCGCAUUAUUUGAAAUAUUAUUUUAAAUAAUUACUAUAGCACUUUUUGUGAUAUGUGAGAUAAAAUACUAAUUAGAAAUAUAAAAAUGUGGAUUGAGAAAUGUGUUUAUGAUACAAGCAAAAUACUAUGUAAAAAAAAAAAAAAAAUUUAGCUAUCCAAACACUCUCAUAUAAAUUUGUUUAUAAUUCAAUUGACUAACAAAUAACGGAAAUAUUUGGCUUCUCUAUUUAGUUAUAAGAUUGACUAACCGAAUCUUAAGUUAAUUUGAAAAAGUCUUUAAAUAUAAGAAUACAAUAAAUAUAAAUAUGUAUAUUCAUAUGAAAUUUAGAUAUGCGAACGAGUACCAACUGAUCCCUUUCAAAAUAUUGAUUACUUUUCAAGUGUUUCAAACGGAACUAAUCGAAAACAAAAUCUAGUUGCGAUUUAAUCCUAGCAAUUAAGAAAAUCCUAGAUCGUGUGCUAGGCGGCGAGUUUGGCAAGGGCGGCUACGUUACGAAAAUGUGCGAAGACUGCCAAGUACAUUGCCACCCAAAGAUUUCUUCACACGGCAACCAAUGGAGAUGGCUCUUUCUAUAUUGGAGCUCUUCUUGGCUGCUCUAGCAUAUAUUUUAGAGGCUGGUCCAUAUUCCUUUUUUUUUGGUUUAAUCAAUAAGGAUUAUCAGGUUUUCUUUUCUUGUGGGUAAGGAAAUAAGGCUGCAAAGUUUGAAUAUUAUAGCCUAAUAGGCUAGUCUAUGUUGGACAUAUUUACCAAAGAAAAGUUGGGAUUACUACUCACUAGCCUCUGUUACUUGUUUGGUUAUCUAGUCAAUUUGUAGUUCUUUUUUUUUUUUUUUGUUAUUUAAGCUUCUUGUCCAACUUUUUAUAUUACUGUGUUUAUAGAUCACAAAAUCAAAUGUUGACUUAAGCUCCCAUGAUUCUUAUGAAAAAUGUGGAACUUUUUCUUUUCAAGAAUUAAAAAUUGUAUAUUACAUAAUAUGUAUGUAAAUAUAAAUUUCAUUAUCAAAUGAUAAUAUUAUACUACCUUAGCACACGUUUGUUAACAUAACAUCAAAGUAAAAUCAAUUACGAAAUGAGAGCAUUUAUUUUUUGAGGAAUGUAAAUCUAUCAUGAAGUGAGGGUGAAAGGGACUUUUCAUGCUAUUUUCCCCAUAUCCUCAUAUUUGACAGCAUGCCUUGUUCACUCCCAUUUCUUUUUAUCAUCUGUAUGGUAAAGUUAAGUUGCUUAUAUUCAGAGAUCAGCCUUCAUCGUAUAUAAGGUCGUAGCUUAUAUACAUAUUAUUAUGGCUUUUUUGCAAUCUACAAUAGCUUUAUUAUUGACUAUUGUUAAAGGCACACCCGAUGUGCUUGUAAUUUAGAAAUAACGAUUAUUUUUUUUAUGAAUUUGUAAAUCUUAUUUUUACACAAAUAAAUUUAUAAGAACUUUUCAUUAACAAACUUCAAUUUAUCAAUAAUUUUUUUUCUUUAAUUGAAAAAUAGAUAAUUUUGUAGUUGCAAUAUUCAAGGUAGUUAUGAGCGGUUAUGUUAGCAAAUGUGUAUCAGAUGAUUAGGGUAAAAAUAUUAGUUUUUCUAAGGAUAAAAUGAAAAGUGAAAAAAGGAUAGAAAAUGUUUACACCAAGUACUGUCACCGCUUUCCUUUUAUAUAUUGUAUAGAUAAUCAAUACACAACCAGCCAACCGGCAUAAACCCAACCUGGUACGUAUAUAUUAUUCAAAUUUAUUGAUUACAGGAAAUUUCAGUUUUCCCAUCACAUAAGACUGAGAGUAGUAGACGGCCUUAACAGUUAACAAAUUCAUAGUUGACUGUUAGGAAACCGUUGGCAAUGCCCUGGCCAUUAGUGUCAAUCUGCCGAAAGGGGCCAACGUCCAAAUCUAGCCCACCAUUGCUACAUUGAUCAACAAUCCUUACAACAACUUGAUCUCCAGUUGCGGUGUUAGUCACCUGCAUUAAAGAUUUAUAUGAGAUGUUUAAGAUUUAUAUAGCUUUUUCAGCUUUACUAGUUCUUGAAAACAUGCACAUAACUCUUAGUGUAAACCUACUACUCACUUUAGCUCUGGAUGUAUAAAGUGCUUUAAAAAGGAAAUCACUCUUCAGUUAGUUGAAAUGCCAAGAUUGACAGGCAAAGAGACCAAAAAGUGAAUUUUUUUUCUUUAAUGGACAUGAAAAGAGCAGAUUGAUAUGGUUGUGGAAGUGGAAAAAUAACAAUUGAUUUACAUAGAAUGAAUCCAACAAUGAUGGAAUUUUGUGCUUUAAAUGGACAUGAAGCGCUAAAUAGGAAACACAAAAGGUUUUCAAUAAUCUAAUUUCCCCCACACCAUAAAAUAUUUAAACACAGUAUUUUUUUUUUUUUUUUGGCCAAUGUUGUAUUAAAAUCCAACUAUUGCUGUUCUCAUUCUACUAACUAGAGUAGAACUAACACAAAUUAUUCUUGAAGCCAAAAAAAAAAAAAAAACACAUACACACACACAAACAAACAAAAAAAAGGUGAGACUAGCUAAAUUCCUCUUUACUAGUGAACAUUUUUCUCUGCACGACUUACACACUGAAGAAACUAUGGGAAUCCAGUAACAUAUUUAUCAUUGACAAACUAAUUAACCCAAAAAAAAAAAAAAAAGAAGUUGUCAAAGUUAAAACCACUUACCCUAAGGCACCUCCCGCAGGAAGCCUGACCAGUAGGUCCAGCAGGUCCACAAAAGGCAGUCCAACCAUAUUGGCUCCGCCACUGAAGGGACAUGUUAGCAUCCCAUGUUGCACAGUAGACCCCGGCACGGUUUAGGUCCCAACCGAUGUCUUGGGGAUUGUACAAAUUGUAAGUGGCCCUAACGUUUGAAGCACUCUGGGAGUUGGCCACAGCAACGAAAAGCGUGAAGAAUGCAAUGCAAAGAAUUUGGGGAACCCUUUCCAUUUUUCUAGUUUUUGUCACAAGUUGUUCUUGUAAAUUUCGAUGUUUGAGGCUUGCAUUUAUAGAGAAAUAGGUAGAGAUAGUAAAGUAGAAGAAGGAAACUCCAGAUCAUUUUCAUUGAUGUACAGUCAAAAGAAAAACACAUGCUGAAGUAUGGAAUAAUCUAGGUUUAUCAGCUAGUAAUUAUCUGAGGUUAACUACUACUCAUGGCUAUGUCAGUCAAGUCAAGAUGUUGAUUAUUGGCAAGCAACCUAUAUAAAUUCCUUUAUAAUUCCAUCAAAUAACAAAUAACGGAAAUAUUUAGAUUAUCUACUUAGUUAUAAGAUUAUAAGAUUGGCUAAUCGAAUUUUAAGUUAAUUUAAAAAGGUGUCUAAAUAUAUAUUCACAUGAAAUUUGGAUGUACUACCGAAUACCAACGGUUACCCUUUCAGAAAAAACCUAAGUUUAAUAUAUUGACAACAUUUCUUGUGUUUCAAACUGAACUAACCUGAGCUAUCUAAGCUCCUUAAAUUGGGGAAAAAAUAACUAGCACCGUUUUAAUCCUAGCAAUCAAGAAAAAGCUAGAUCGGGUGCUAGGUGGCUAGUUUGCAUGUUUGGGAAAUGGGAAGGCGGCUAGCUAGCUACGUGCUAAGUUAAAAUAACGUGCGAAGACCGCUAACUGCCAUGUACUUUUCCAUCCUGGGAUUUCUUCACACAACCACAAUAGAGGUGGCUCUUUCUAUAUUAGCGCUCUUCUUAGUCGCUCUGGCAUAUUUUCAGAGGCUGUUCCAUUGUUUGGUCAAUAAGGAUUGUUAUUGUUUGCUCAAUAAGGAUUGUUAGGUUUCCUUGUUUGGUCAAUAAGGAUUGUAGCAAAGUUUGAAUGUUAUGGCCUAAUAAGCUAUUAUAUGUUGGACACAUCUACCAAGAAAGAGUUGGGAUUGCUACGCUCUAGCCUCUAUUAAUUGUUUAAUUAUCUAGUCAGUUUUUGUAGUUUUUUUUUUAAAAAAAAUUAAACUUCUUGUCCAACUUCUUGUUUUAGUGUCUAUGGAUGACAAAAUCAAAUAAGACACCUCCUAAUUUGACUUAAAGCUCCCAUGAUUCUUUUGAAAACUGUGGAACAUUUUCUUUUUAAGAACUAAAAAUUGUAUAUUACAUAAUAUGCAUGUAAAUAUAAAUUUCAUUAUCAGAUGAUAAUAGUGUAGUACCUAAGCACAUGUUUGGUAACAUAACAUCAAAAAUAAAAUCAAUAAUACAAUUUACGAUUCUUAUUAAAACACUAUGCCAAAGAACUUAAAAGGUGCACUAAAAAUAAUUAAGACUUUUCACUUUGCACCCUCGAACUUGUACUACUUUUUCACUUUGUACCCUAAACUUCAAUUUUAGACAUUUUGUAUCCUAAACUCUCAUUUUUGGUUACUUUGCUAUACAAAAUCUCAAGUUUGUCCAAUUUAAGUCCAAUUAUUGACAACAUUAGCCAUAUUAACAAGAUAAAGGACUAAGCAAAUUAAUAACAAUGCAUCAUUUUGUUCUAUUUGUGAUCUCAUGACUCCUUCUGAGCAGUUUCAGUACAUUAUCAUUGAUUCGUAUGGUCGCAAUCACUAAUGUUGUUAGUAACAUUAUCAAGAUAGAAGAUUGUGUAAAAUAAUGACAAUGUAUCAUUUUGUUCUGGUUGUGUUACCUUGACUCAUUUUGACCACUUUUAGGACAUUGUCAUUGAUUUAUUCUCUAUGCCCUUAAUUUUACUAACAUUAUCAUUGAUUGAUUUAAAUGGAAAAACCUUGAGAGUUUAGGGUGUAAAGAGUCCAAAAUUAAGAGUUUGGGGUGUAAAGCAUCCAAAAUAAAAGUUUAGGGUAUAAAGUGAAAAGGUGAAUAAGUUUGGGGGCACAAAGUGGAAUUAGUCCAAAUAAUUAUCUGCCAAUCAGUAUGAAAAUCACUCAUUUAAACUUGCAAAAUCCCUGAAACAUAACCAGAUGCUAACAUAUUAAGUAACUUGUAACAGAAAACUAGCGACCUUUCGAAUUUUCCUAGGUCAAAGUUUGGAAGGGCUUUGCUUUAGUUUUGAAUGAGAAAUGAUGUCGAGGACUAAGUCAAAAUGGACUUUUUCAAAGAAAGGUUUUUUUAGUAAGAGCUACAUAUUAGAAAUAAGAAUGGGAACAAUAAAUUGAAAAGAUCCAUUCCAUGAUUCUCCCUCCAACCAAACAUGGAGUAAAUGAUUUUUUGCUGAUGACGAUAAAAAUUCUACAACCUUAGCUCAUUAAUGACCGCCAUUAUCAUAAAUUUGUGUAAUCGAUUUUAAAUGGAUGUAUUGCGAGUAUACUUUAUGCACCAUAAUUUAUUUCCUGAUUAAAUUGUGCUCUCUAUAUCGAGUAGCUAACUCUAAUAUCUGAGAAUCAUGUGAUAAUUUUAGAAAUCUCCGUGGGGUUUUUAACAAUUUCAUUCGCCUCCCUUGAGUUUUGCAAAAUAACACUAACCUCCCUUGACAGUGUUAUGGAUCCAAUUGCUUACAUCACAUAGGGAAAAAUUACUCAUAUACCCUAAAAUAUUAUGUUUUGUUGAAAAUUAAUAACUGACAAUUAAGUAAUUAGGGCACCAAUUAACUAUUAAUAACUAAUUAAUGAAGACAACUGCUGGAAAUUUUUUUAAUGAUGAACAGUAACUUACAAUUACAAAAUGGUGCUAAUUGAUGUACCAAAUAUAUGUUCACUCUUAAAAAUUGAUACACCAAACAGUAAUUUGUUUAGAUUUUUUAACUCUAAAAAAUCUUCACAGUUGCUUUGUGAUUAUACUUGUAAUAUUUGUUCUUGGUGCUAAAUGAUGUGGAUGAAUUUCAUGAUUUUCCUUGUAGCUUGACAAGGCCAUAGUUUCUGCACCUAUAGUUCACUUUCAACUUAUGAAAUCCACACAAAUUCACUAUUUUUUCACCUCAAAUUUUGCUACUUCAAGUGAAAAUGAGAUUUAUCUUAAUGUUUCUUGUUGCCUUUAUAUGCAAAAUGUCAAAGACCUGAAAAAUAGUAGUUGUAAUCUAAUGCACUAGCUAUUGGUCCCACUUUGUAGAGAAAGUCAGUCGAUACUUAUUUUUUGUUCUUUGCUAUUUAUACUUACCUUCCCUCACUUUUAUUAAUAUGUUUUUCAUUCCUUACAAUACAACUUAUACACAAGCAUAAAGGGUAUUUGUGAAAUACAAGUUUUAUCCGAUUAAAGUCGCUUGGAACUCUAUACGCCAACACCGGGACCUAUCUCAAGUAGAUCGUUUGGUUUGGAAUGGACUUGUCCUAUUGAAAAUAUCAUUCUCUGCUUGGCGAUUAGUUCGCAAUCUGAUUCCCCUAGAGGUGACUCUCAAGAAAUUUGGAAUACCUAUUGUAUCGCGUUGUCUUUGCUGUCGGCUGCAGGAAGAAUCGUGGAGACAUCUGUUCAUUACAGGUCCAAUAGCUCUCCAGGUGUGGACUCAUUUUCGGAAGAGAUUCGGUAUUAUUGAGUCUACAUUCUCGUCUGUCUUGUCUCUGUUACUCUCCUGGUUUUCCUCUAGCUCGGUGAGGGAGGUGAAACACAUUAGGGUGGUGGUUCCGGUGGUAGUGCUUUUGUGACAGCCCCACCUUCCCCUAGGGCGUACCCCAAGGGUUAGCAAACUACCUGCCCAACUCUCACCAGAACUACUAAGCCAAAACACACGUAAACCCUACAAAUCGUGCAAAAGAACUUCGAGAAAACGAACGGUCGGAAACUGAAUUAGUUAACUAAAUGAUGCCAUAGAACUUCGAUUAAUGCUCCAACGAAAAACGAAAUGGACAAAUGUCACAUCAGAAUCCAACCAAAACUUGGCCGGAUUGCCGGCCGGAUUCAAGGCAGUGAGCAAAACUAAAUUUUUCCAAUCUCCGCUGCCAAUCCGACCAAGUAUCCGGCAGGAUUGUCUGCAGUUGUUUCCUGCCAGAUUGCUUUUCUUUCCUUGCUCAAGUUCCGCACUCAUCCCAUCAUCCCAACGAAUGCAAGAAAAGUUCACAUAAACCCAGAGAACGUACAUUCUCAAACAAAUACACGGGAGAGACAUGAUUAAGUACUUAUAUACAUACAUUGGAAACUUUACAAAUCAAAGUGUGAUACUUGAUCAAAAUACAAUUAGGGUUUACCAGUACAGAGGAGCUUAAUCAAAAGAUUUUAUAUAACUAGCUCUACUCUUUUCUCUAAAAAUCACGGUUUCAAAGUUUUUCCCCUGUAAGGAAAACAAAGGUAACGGGAAUGAGCUUUCGCCCAAUAAGGUACCAACAGGUCAAGCAGUCAGAUAUCACGAAAGUACGCAUGUAAUCAAUCAGAUAUAGAUAUCAAAUAAAGAGGAAGGAAUACCACAGUUAACCAGAAGUAAAAUGAUACAGAUGGCUCUCAAGUGCCAAUUUCCUCUUUUGCAUCACCAGAGCUUGAUCAAGUAGUAAUUGACACUCCGUCCACUUUCAAGGAAGUAACCAGUCCAGUAGAGCACCACUUUACACCAAAUUUCGUCCACCAAACAUACCCCUUAUCGGGUCCGAACGCCUCAACAGGAACAGAGAUGGUAAUAUUCGAGUAUACCAAGAAUCCAGAAUCUCCAAUACUCAAAGAUUCCAAAGAAACAGGCCCCUAAAGCUCGUUAAUUUUCCUCGACCAAGCCCCUUGCUGGCUCGAUUCAAUUAACUACCAAUGGGGUUGAGUUCAGAUUUAACAGGAAGGUCGUUGGAUACAAGCCUCCAAACGACAUCAUAUCAGGCACAAGUAACAGAUUCAGAUUGAUACAGGAACUAGCAAAUAGGCAAGAGAAAUGAGUGUGAUAAAGUACACCCUCGUUUCGUCCAGAAUAAACAGAUGGUACAGUCAUUCAAGUCACAAAUUGCAGGUACAAGUAAAUCAAUUAAGCAACAAGUCAUGCGAGUGGUAUACUCACCGGUUCAAGCAAAGAUAACUUCAAAAGUUUCCUCCGAAAGUAUGCCUUUGAUCAUCGGCACGUCCUAAGAACAACCAAGGUAAAACAAUUAUGGUUUCCACAAUCGAAACCUAGUAAACAGAAUUCAAAAGUGUGACUCGACUACGUGUCGAACGCCUAUCCAUGUUAACUACUAGAACAAGGACGCAAGAUGUGAUUUUUGGGCAAAAAGGAGACACGUGAACCUAGGGACACGAGCAACCCAAAAGCCUUUCAUUUCUACCAAAAUCAACUCAAACGUAAAGGAACCAAACGACUUCAAACUUUGGACAGCAUUUCCCCUAGAUUACUUUACUUUUUCCAUCCUACAAUCAAUCACUAAUCUCAUCUCAAUUACCCUCAAUUGCACAUACAAAUCAUAAGCUAUAGGACACACUUAAUUAGGGCCACAAUACCCUUCAAAUACAACCAAUUGGUAGCUCCAAAACUAACCCUAAUCAUGCUCAAAUUAGAAACCCUAAAGCUGAAAUUUAGGCACAUAAGCUGGAAAUUCCUUUAGACAAGUUAAACUACCACAUAAAACCUCAAUAUUACACAAGGCAAAGUUAUCAAACCAUGGCCAAUCAUAAAGCAUCAUAUAAAGGCAGAAAAUUCCCCAUAAAAACUGAAAAUUUUCAUAUCAUCACCUCAAACCACAAUAUUUCUCAUAAACCACAAAUAUUGCCACCCUAAACCACAAGUAUGCUAGUAUUAGAAGUAAAGAAAAAUUUCUUGUCUUACAUACCUUAGAACCUCAAGAAAGAUGGAAACUUAGGGCUUCCUCCUCCAAAAUCACUCCACCAAAACCUCUAAACCUUCUUAAUGAGCAACUUUUAUGGAGAAAUUUGUAAAUUUAUUGGUUGGAACUCAAGAUUGAAGCAAGGAAUUGAAGUGCAAGAUGAAGUCUUCUCUCUCUUUUCUCCUCUCCAAGGUUUGGCCAAGCAAGGUGAAGAAAUGAAGAAAUUUUGGUCAAAAUUUGAUUUUAGAAAAAUUAAGAAACCUUAGUCAAAGUCCAACACUUAAGGGUUUCUUGACACUUGGCCUUUUCUAGAGUUUUCUCCCAUUUCUUUGUCUUCCAAAGCUAAUCUACCUGGCUAAUUCCUAAUUAUCCCUUAGCACCUUAUAACAUAAUAUCCCUUUAUGCAAAACUUCACCUAGUGGUCAAAAUUUUAUCGCACUUACCGCACUAUCGAGUCUCACGUCUACAAUACACUUCAAAAUUAACAUGAACUAAACUUAUAGCAGAAAAAUAAUUUAAAAACACUAUAUUCACUUAUAAAAAUCUCUGAAAAUUAAUUUAAUAUAGUAUAGUGAAGAAAAUGCAUGCAAAGAAAUAAAAUAAAAUAAUAUAAAAUAAGGGAAUUUUGCAGGUCCUCACAGCUUUGGUGUCUGUGGAAAGCAAGAAAUAAUGCUCGGUUUGAGGGCACAAGAUUCGAGGUGGGUAACGUCAUUAUGAUGGUUGAAUAGGUGGUCGGGCAGUUAGGCAAAGUAGGAGUGCUCUCGGCCACACACUUUAGGGGUGAUGCUGAAGAUCCAUGGGCGGAGUUAGCACACCGCCUCAUUCGGAGAAGGCAUUGUGUUGCGGUUUCGUGGAAAUGUCCUCCAUCCCCUUUCUUUAAAUUGAAUAUAGAUGCCAUUGCAGUCCAGAGGUGAGCAUCCGGGGGUGGCAUUCUUAGAGAUUCAAGUGGUCGAUUGGUAUUCACUUUUUACAAGGAAUUCAGCAAAAAAGAGGUCCUGAUUGCAGAGAGUUUGGCACUACUUCAUGGUCUUCAAUUGUGUCAUGAAUGGCAAAUCCAGAGGCUUCUAGUGGAAGUUGAUUCACAAGUGUUGGGUCAGUUGAUCCAUUCAGGAAGGGUGUCGAAGUGGCCUUUAUGUAACAUCCUGCGACAGAUACGGCACUUAUUAGUCUCAUUGUCAUCUUCAGUGUCACACACCUUUCGGGAGGCUAACUCUUCCUCUGAUAGGCUGGCAAAUUUGCAGUUGGCGUCUGACUUGUUCUGCACGUCUCCUCAGCAACUGCCUAGUAUGGUAAGGGCAUCUGUACUGUUUGACUUUAGGGAACUCUCGUCGGUGCGUCGGCACUAUGUUAUAAAAUAGCCUUAGUAGUUGUGCUCUAGAUAGCGGUGCGGUUGGAAGACUCUCUGUGUAACCUUUACAUUCGGGCUAUGAAUAAAAUAUAAAGUUUAAAAAAAAAGUUUUAUCUCUUUUCUCAAGGUACUUUUUUAAUGGUACUUUUUCUGAAUUAGAUUGAUAGUGUUACCGAAACCUUAACUUUAGGGGAGAUUAGUAUAAUUUUACAAAUCUCAAGGGAGGUUAGUGAAAUUGUUGAAAAUAUCAAGGAAGGUUUCUGAAAUUAUCUCUAGAAUCAUAUAGUGUGUUCCCUCUAUUUCCAUUUUAAGAUUAUAUUUCAUAUUUUAGCUUACAAAUUAUUCCUAAAAAAAUGUUUUUGUUGGGAGAAAAAGGGGUUAAUGUGUUAUAACAUUGAGCUAUUCCUUAUACUGAACAUUUUACUCCCUAUUGUACAGUAUAAUUGUAUGUAUCCAUGGAGUAGUACAGUUUAUAAAAAUAAAAAACAAUUCAUAUGAACUUACUUUGUUACAAAAGUAUCGUCCAGCAUGAUGAUUUUUCUGACAUAAUUUACGUUCCGAAGUUGUAAGACGAAAAAUAUGAAAAUGAGGGUUGUUUAUAUAUCAAGAUUUCUUCAGAGGUUUUAUCAAUAGAAAUUGAGUAGAAUGAUUUGCUCAAAUUUGUAGUGAUCAACUCAAAAUAAUAGCCAUGUGGGGCGGUGCUAUUGAUUGAGUUUCGUAAUACUUUCGAAAUAGCCUUAUUUCCUGGAUGCACUAUUUUUUUGGUGGAUUUUAUUCUUAAGACCCGCCAAUAGACAAUUGAUAGUCAUUAUUAUUGUGAACCAACAUGUAACACAAUGGGGACUUAGUUCUAUCAAUAUUACUUAUACUAGGAUGUAAAUUCAACAAAAAUGAAUGCCGCUUAUGGUAUCGGAGGCGAUUGAAGUACUACCUUGUGCCGCGCAUGCGACCCAUCAACCUACUAGCAAUGGGGGAGAAAACAUAGCAUGUCGCAAUAAAAGUUUGAUUCGAGGCGUCAGCAAAACACUGCCGUCUGUUCCACAAAAAGCCCCUUAGCACCCCGGGACGGGAGUAGGAGACGGCCCUACGCGCAGGCAACAGCAGCGCCGGCUCUGCCUUUUACUCUAUUAACUUCCAAUAAAAAGACACUAGGUCCCAAAAUCCAGUUCAUCUAGUGGGAAUAUUAGUUAGACAACCCCAAGAUUUCUAGUUUGAUUUUGGAGUAGUCCCUUUUCUCUUUCCCCUUACAAAUUUUGGACUCCUUUGACUGGAAAUACAAAUUAUUAUAGGACCUCAAAUAGAAGCAUAAACGCAAUAUUCACCAAGCGGCACAACAAAAAAAAAAAAAAGGUUAAAAACACAAUCCAAGAAACUGAUGCAUGUACCUUGCAUACCAUCAACCCAAGUAAGCCCUUCGAUGAAAGAUAAAAGCGAGUUCUCGAAUUAAAAGUUUCUAACAUGAACGGCGGGAUAGAAAGGAAAACUUCAAUCUAGUAGUAAAUAUAUAAAUUUUUUAGUUUCCAACAUGAACUGAAAAUUAAAAGUUUUUUUUUAUUAUAGAGGCACAAGGAGAUUGCAUAACUUUGAUAAUUCUUUUAUAAUUAUUUAAAAUAAUUCUAUCGCUAUGAACCUUGCUAUUAUUGGUCUUUGCAUAUUAUUUGGAAAUGGAUCAAACCUAUUGCACAUAUUUGUUUCAAAAAAUAAAUUUGAAAAAAUCAUACAGGUAAUAAGUUUUAAAAUUAGGUACUUUAGAUAUAUGUUUUGGAAAGAGAGUUAUUUUGGCAAAAAGAACUCCAACUUAAAUUUGAAGCGAAUUUAUUUUCAUAACAUAACGGUAAUUUAGGAUAUUCAUUUGGAUUGACGUUACUUUCCUAUGGUAUUAAAAUUGAGAAAAUAAAGUAAGGUAACUGUACUUUUUCAAACUUAAAGGAAACUUCUUAAGAUUGAUAAUCUUAGGGAGGAAUGUGUUUUUUUGCCCUAGUAAUUUUUCCUUUCGUCGCAUCAUUAUAUGUUGAGACCAUCACUUUGGAUUUUGAACGGAGAACUAAAGGGCCGUUUGGUAAUGUUCUGUUUUCCUAUUUCUGUUCUUUGCUAUGAACAAAACACUUGUUUAAUUAUACAUAAACAUGUUUGAUUCAUAAUAUUUUUUUUGAAACAAAAGAAUACAAAUAUAUUUGAUUAGACAUUAUCAUUGUUGUGUGAGAGAAAAUGAUUAAUGAGGCUUAAAUUUAGUAUAAUAUUAAAGUUAGUGCAUAUUUAUGGAUUAGGCUUGACCAAUUAAUUUCAACUCAAACUGCGUCUGACCUAAUAAUAUCAAAUUAAAUAGUUCAUAUAUUUAAUACUUAUACAUGUUCAAAAUGAGUAAGAAAGUAUAAAUUAAUUGUGUAUUUGUUAAAAUGCAUUAUCUUUAAGCAUUAUUCUUGUAAUUAAGUAAUACAUAAUUAAUAAAUAUAUGCUGUAAAUAUAUAAAUCUAGUAUUUUUUUCCCUAUAAUAUAUAAGUAAAUCAUUUUGAAUUUUUAAACAUGUAUGAUUUUUCAAUAAAUUUGAAGCUAACCCAAUUUCAGCCUAAGACCCAUGUUAGAAAAAUGAGUUGAGAUGAAAUCUUACAUGUAUUGAAUUCAGGAUUAAAAAAAAUGUUAUUUUUUUUCUUGUAUUGGGUUUAGGCUUGAUGAAACCCAAUUAAGAACAAAGCAUAAGCUUUAACGGCGAGAUGAUUCGAGCCGGGCUAAACCGAAAUGGGCCGAAUUAGAUGGCAUCGAGUAGAGCAGGUUGAGGUAUCUAGGUGGAAUAUAUAAUGGUGGUUGAGUGAAGAUGAAAUGAAACAAUUUAAAACAUUUAUUUAUUAACUUUCUAUUUUAAGUGUUUUUAAACAGCUAAGAAAAAUAAUUUUGGUGUUUUAAAGACAAGGCACAUAUUCAUGAAUGUUUCUCAUUUUUGUAAGACACAAACAAUUUUAACAAACACUAUUUUUUGUCUUUGUUUGUCAAAAUCUACAAACAAAAACAUAAACAUAGCAAACAUAAAUGUUACCAAACGACCAAGUUUCACAAUUUUUCGGGCUAGAGUUUUCAAAAGCAAAAUAUGAUUUCUGGUGCAUAUUAUUGAUCUACAUCAAUAAUUGGCUCAUUGAUGUAAUAUUUAAGGUUUGAGAAGUUUUCAUUCCUAUUUGUAAGUAAUGUUUUUAAAUCUGGAACAUAAAGGGCAGCGGAUGAGCUUCAGUUCAUGACUCAAUCGAUUCAAUCUCGAGGUCAAAAAUUUAAGCUCUGUUUGGAUUCAAGAGUUUUUCAACUAUUAUUAAAAUUUUUAAAAAGUAGAUAAAAUUUUUUUUAAUGUUUAAAAAAUAUUUCAAAAUAUAUUCUAAAAACUCUUCUACUCUUAAAUAUCCCAAAAUAUUUUCUAAAAUAUACUAUAAAAACUCUGCUACAGUAAAUUUUUCAAAAACACCCCCAAAAAUAGAUAAUCCAAAUGAAAUUUUUUAAUUUAUUUAGGAUCUAAUAAGUUGGAUAUCUUUGUUAGUUUACCGAAUUUCGUCACUUGAGAGGCAAAUUGGGUUCCUAGGAAUCUAAAUGUGCCUGCUCUUUUAUUAGCUAGUUAUGCUAGUUCUAUUUCAAAUAUUUGUAGUUGGAGAUCUUCUCCACCAUAUUUUCUUUCUUCCGUAAUUACUGCAGAUCUAUCUUCACCUUAAUCAAAUUUUUCAGUUUUUCUAUUUUAAAAAAAAAGUAACUUGGAUAGCAUUGAAAUAUAUAUAUAUAUAUAUAUAUAUAUAUAUAUAUAUAUAUAUAUAUAUAAGGAAAAAUAUUAGUUCAAAUUGGUUCAAAAAUACGAUUUUUACUGAUUUUGAACACUUCAAUUGAUUCCUCACCGAGGUUGAAUGGUGCAAUUAAAUUUUGGAUUUAAUAGAAAACUGGUGCCAUAAUGAAUUAUAUUCAACUUUCUAACCAGUUGGUCCGAUCUAAUUUUCAAAACACCGAUUGUAACAUAUUUAAGACUAAUCUUUUUAAGUGUCUCAUAUCUUGAAAUGAUGUAUUUUAACAAUAUAUAUAAAAUGCAACAUCUACGUCUCAAACUUCACUUCGAGUCAUUUUUUUUUUCUGGAUAGGAAUGUCAUGCAUAUAUUACGUACUAAUUCACUGAGUGGUAGUUAUAGUAAGGUUACACUUAGGUAGACUCGAUUUUCAAAGAUUCAAUGGUCCAAAUUGUGUCAUAUCAUCUCACCAAAUGAUGUGGCACAAUUUGGAUCAUUGAAUUUAUAAAAAUCAUAUCUAUCCAAAAUUUGGCUGUUAUGGUAUUACAUAAAAAUUGCUCCAAAAAAGGCAAGUACAUACGUCACAUGUUCAUUUUAGAGAAUCAGAACAUUAGUUCUGGUGACCGCAUUACUUUUUGUUAAUUUUCAAAAGACAGUUUUUCUCUUUGUUUUCGUCUCAAUUGGUUAGCAUGUAACGUGGUGGUUACAAAUCGUGUAUCCGUCAUGCGUGUGACUUGCAAAAUGACUUGAUAUGAACUGUUGAAGACCUUGGCUGCAAUCUUCUAUGAUCUUUUUAUUGUUUGGAUCGGUCCAUAAUACGUUGGCAUAUUCUUUAACGGCAAAAUGGUGAUCCAAGUUGGAAUAUAGUACAAGGGUAAAUUACACAUAACUCUCAUAUAGUUUCAACUAUUAUCCAAUGAUUCCUCUAACGUUUUCAAAUGUCCAUUUUACCCCUUUAUGAUUUUAUUGAAAGUCAAAACUUGAUAGAAAAGUAACAUAUAUAACGUCUGCACUGUUUGGAUUUACCAUUUUUUGAAAAACAAGUUUUUCAUAUACAAUGUUACAGUAAUAUAUAAACAAAAAUAAUUUAAAAAAUACUAUAUCAAUACAAUAUAUUAAAAACAACUCCAAAUAUACAAAAAAUUUAAAAAUAAAAUAUACACUAUUUUUUUCUUCCAUCUAUCACCACUACCAUCAUCACCCCUACCCACCAUCCUCCUCCUCCCUCUCUUUCCUCCUCAUUUCUCUGCCUCUCUCUUCCUUCUCCCUCACUUUCCUCCUCCCCUCUUCCUUUUCCCUUCCCUGCCACACCCCACCUCCUCCCCUCUAGCCUCAACUAGAUCUAGGCCUUUGGUCACAGCCAAAGGCCGCGAUCUGGUCUCGACAAUGCCAAAUUGAGGAGGGGAAGGAAGAGGAUGUGCGGGGUCUAGCAAGAAAGUGGAGGGAAAGGGAAGGGUGGGAGAAGGAGGGAAGGAGAAGGAAGAGAGACAAGGAGAAGAGAAGAGGAGGGAGAGAGGGGAUGGUGGCGAUGGUGGGUAGUGGUGGUGGGUGGAGUGUUAAUUUUCAAAAUUAUCCUAAAAAUUUUUAAACUUUAAAAAUAUGUUAAAUAUAUCCCAAAAACACCACUAAAAACAUUUAUAGUAACAGUUUUUCAUAUGCAUUGUUAUAGUAAAAUAUUUUAAAAAUAUCCCAAAAAAUAGCUAAUCCAAACGGAACCGUUAUUAGUUGGAAUACCAAUAGUAUCCUCAUUUAAAUAUUAAAUCAAAUAACGGUCUAACUACUUUGUAUAGUACCAUUUGAGUAUUAUUUGGAUAAAUACAAAAAUUAUUAGGGAGUAAAAUAGAUAUUUAGGUAAACUAUAGGGUUGUUAACUAGAUAUUAUAAUUCCAUCACACGUACUUUUGAAAUGCAUCUAAUUCAUUCACCAUAACUUAUAGCAUAUUCCAUCUUCUUUUUUUUUUCUUUACAUUAAACUAUAAACUAUAGGGAGAUUACAUGAUUAUUUUGAAACCUUAGGAAAAUUAUCUAACAUCCUGCAAAACUAUAGGCAAGUUAUAUGUAAUCUACCCCAAUUGUUGCAUCCUGACAUGUCAGUUACAUAGCAAAAAGCGUUCGUUUAUGGGAAAGAAAAGGAAAAAAAAGAAGGUAUUAUGAUAAACCUUUAUGCACACAUUAGAGACUAUUUGUACUGUUUUUCGAUUUUUCCCAUUGUACUUUCUGCACCAUCUAACCUUUGAUUCCAAGAUAAGUUCGAAGGAGACACCAAAUCUCAACCUCAUAUGUCUUUGUCGGCCUUAUGGGACCAGAAUCGAUAUUAAUGCUUUAUUAUUGAAGCACAAAAACUUUCAUGCCACUCAAAUUAUUAAAUUUGUCGAUUGUGUCAAAUAUUUCCAGCAGAUACACAUGGUUGCCCCCAUAAGGCCUCUCCUCUGCCCCCAACCCCCCGCCCCGGCCGCCCCUCCCCUUCCCCAAAAAAAAAAAAAAAAAAAACAAAAGGAAAAAAUUGUAAAACAAAUUUCUUAUCUAUGUUUUAAUAAAUAAAAUUUCUUAGCUUGCUUUCAUGAAAUAAAAGAUUUUUUGAGAUAAUUUUUUUAAAAAAUAUUAUAGCACUUUUUUGAUGUGAUAUAAUGUAUAUGAAAUAAAAAAUGAUUCAAAAAUAUAUUAAUGAUAUAAACAAAUAAAAAUUGUGUAAAUAAAUACUAUCCAAACAAACCUUAACAGUUCAAAAAGAUGUCGUGUAAAUAACAUAUUAUAGUUUUCCUCACUAUAUUAAUAUGUCUUUUCAUCUUUUUGAAUUCGGCCGUGCAUUUUUUUGACCAUUGCCACUAUAAACACUAAAUCAAUUUCCCUAUUUUCUUUCAAAUCCUUUACUUCGGGUAAGCAUUUUCAGGUCUAAAUGAAACGUUUUACAUGCAAACUUAAUCAAAUGCCUUGAAGAAAAAAAAAAAGACUAGAGAUGAUAUUUGUAAUUAAAUUUACUUAUAAUUUAUAAGGAUUCAAAAGAAAACAUGAUCACAUGCAAUUCUGAGAUACAGACAAGACAUGGAUAAUAAAGACACCUAAUAUGGAGAAUCUUUAAAUAAAUAAAAACCCAUGACUGCCACUCAAAAUGCGGUAGAGAAUCUUAAGCAAAUUGCUUCUUUACAGGUACAACAACGAGGCUGUCACCUACUAACAGACAAGCCAAUUAAGUUUUACAGAUAAGACUUGAAACAAAAAAACUUUAUGAACAAUUCUCAAAUUGUCUUCAUUCAUUUUCUCUUUCCCUAGGAAAAUUUAAAAAAGAAAAAAAAAAGACUGUGCAAUACUUUUCUACAUAGAAACCCUCUUGAGCCAGUCUGUUAUAAGCAUAUAUUAUAUAAUAUUGACAAUAGCAGACAGACCAAAAAACAAAAAAAAAAAAAAAGUAAGAAAACUGGGAUAAGAAAAAUAUAUAAUUCUUCCCAGAGAACCAUUUCAGCUUCUGUUCUUGCAUUUUUCAACUGCCCUUGGAGCUGCACCAGAAAGGAAGGGGAAAAAAUUGAGAUAACCAUUUGUAACAGAAAUUAUUACCGGAAAAAAAAGGACAAGAAAAAGUUGGAUGACCUAAUUAAAGAAUAUAAUGUAUCUAAGUUCUUUCAAAUAACAUUUUUCGUAUAUGAUAAAUAUCUAAACCUGCUCGUGUAAAAUCAAAUUGCGGAAAAAUUUUAGCAUACCUAGCCCGACGGCCUCCGACCCUUUCAUUAUCCUCAAACGUUUGCAUGAGUCAACAAACAUUCUGAAAAAUGUAAAAUAUAUAAUUGUCAGUUUUUUUGCAAUUCUUAGUAGUGAAUUUGGUUAAGUAAUUUCCUAAUAAAAUGGAUUGCAGGAAAUUGUCUUAUGGAAAAAAUUGAAGAAGUUAUGAACGUACUCCCAUGGAACAUCACCCACGAGCAUCCAGUCUCCAUCUCUGUCCUCAUACGUAGGGACGUAUUCUGAACCAUUUAGAAGAUCUAUCAAUUUCCUCUCGUUCAUGAAGUCCUUGAAUUCUUGAGAUCCAUAGCUUCCUAUAAAUAUCAAAAAGUGACACUGCAUAAUUAUCGAUGAAUAAAUUUUUACUGUUAUAUAUCACAAAAAUAUUAAGUCUAUAUUCAGUAAGUAGGUUCAACUAAAACUUAAAUCACGUACACAAAUAAGUUUAGAUUUUUACCAUUGUCAUUUUUAAGUAAGUACAAUCUAGGCUAUCGCGAUUCAACUUUUUAUUAGGGGUACUCCACUUACCUCACUCUUUUUUUGUUCUUCUUUAAAACUUAGAUAGGAGUUACUGAUGAUAAUUAGAGUGCUAAUUUUGUCAUUUACGUUAUUUCUUACUCGCAAGGUCUCCAUUUUGGUUGAAUUAAUUACUACAACAUGUAGUGCAAAUCAAAUUUUCAAACUUAAUCUAGCCCAAUAGAAUUAUGUUUUGCACAAAGCAACAAAUAAAUAAAUAAAUAUGACAUGAUAAAAAGCAAUAUUUACCUAUUGUAGAAGAACUGAACAUUUUGCUCAGGGCUUGAGAAAGCUCUUGGUAGCUCUUGAAAUUCUUUAAAUCCACCUUACGCAGGUAAGGGGCACCAUCUACACUGACUUUAACAAAUGCUGCUGCUGCAGAACCAGUCCCAGAUUUCUCAGCUUCUGUGUUGCUAUUUUUCUGUACAGAUAGGAUAUUCUUUCUGAAUGAUCUAACUGGUGGCCAACCAACUACUUGAGUCCUGAGAUUUGGGAAAAAAAAAUUUCAUGAAUUCUGUUCUUCUUAUUAUUGCUAGAAAAAAUAUAUGCAUAUGUUCUAAUUUUUUUUUUAAUCUUAAUUCCAUAUACAAAGUUUUGGCUUGGACAUCUCAUAUGAUUAAAGUAAAAAAAUUUUUCUUUGCUUGACCUCAUGCCAUUAGCAAAAUUACAUUAAAGUGCUCCUUUUUUUUUUUUUUUUGCAUUCAGUAUUCCACUUUGAUACACAAAAAAUCAAUACAAUCCCAUAGAGAAAUUACUUUGUUCAUGGACUCAUGAAACACUUUUGAAUGAUAAACAAAAUUGAUAAUAAUUACAUAAACCUUUUUAAAAGAAGCCAAAUUUUAGAAAAAUCAAACAAAAAUAUGCCCACACACAAAAAUGAAAAUCAAAGAAAAAGAAAAAGAUAGAAGAACAUACUUGGCAGGUGGUUUUGAAGGAUUGCUAGAACUUGAGGCAGCAACGCUUUUCUCUUCUUCAUCAGCCUGAGAAUUCUUUGAUGCUAAGUUGAGCUUCAAAUCAACAGUUUCUGAGAACCCUCUUUUGUUACCAUUGUUUAUAGUACCAUUCUUCAUGGACUCACCAUUUUCAACAUUUCCAUUUCCUCCUCCUGGCAGUCCAAGUCUUAACUCAGUUUCUUCAUAAUUCAACCUAUACUCAUUGCAUUCUCCACCCAUUGUUCUAGACAGGGACGGAGCCAGAAAUUUAUUUUUGAGGGGGCUGAAGUGUAUUAAAAAUUUUUUUUUGUGACGAAAUAAAUAUAUUUAAUAAGUAAAAUUUGGAAUCAAUAAUUAUAAAAAUAAUAAAAACAUAUAAUUAUACAUACCCAAAAAUUUGUUAUUGAUUAACACUUGAAAUCAUUUUGAAAAUAGUUCAGGGGUGCAAAGUACAAUUAAAAUCUCGUCGCGAGACAAUCCAUGCAGUCACCUGCUUAUGUGACUAACUACCUUAAUUCACAAACCAAUCCAGAAAAAUAUAAAGGACCAAAUAAAGGAAAUCAUUUUAGCCAACAAGAAUACUAAAUGCACGUUUUUAUCCGAUUGUCUCGCGAGGAAAGUGCGCUAAAAGUACAAAUAUUACGUGUGGGGAAGAUACUCUAACUCCAGACAAAUUCCCUUUCCUUCUUGACUUCGGAUUCUGUAACGUCGGUUAAAUCCUCACUAUAUAAACAAACAUAAGCAAUAUUUGCAGUAAAACCUGUUUCUUGAAUUUAAUCGUUCCAUCCUCUCUGCAGAUUCCCGUUAAUUUGCCCUUUGUUUCUUCCUCAAUUCUUCAGAUAUCAAAACUGCUGCAAUACUCCCCAGGGUUGUACAACUAGCCACGUUCAAGAACCACCGAUUACUGAUCUGACUGAGGAAUCAGCAAUGGAUUUCGACCAUAAUGAGAGACCUAAUUCCACGCUCUACCAGCAAUUAAUGGCUCUGCAACCUCUCUAUCCUACCGCUAGUUUAAGGGAACUGAUUUCUUUUGCAGAUGAUCUCUUUCCUUAUGCUUCGGAGGAUGACUUGAUCAGCUUGGAGGAGGAAGGACUAAUGGGGCAAGACGAUGGUUAUAGUACUGGUAAUCUUAUGAUAAGUAGUGGGUUGCGAGAAGAUAUCAUAAUCCAGCAACUAAAGAUCAGAAGAAGAAGUCGUCGUCAAGAAGAAGUUGCAGAUGAUGAUGAAGGCUUUGAAGAAAUCUGUGUGGUUUGCCAGGGUGAAUACGAAGAUGAGGAGAUGCUGGGAGCACUGGGAUAUUGGACACGAGUUUUCCGGCGGCUUGGGGGGGGCUUAAGCCCCCACCAGCCCCCCCUUAAAUCCGUGGCUGGUUCUAGACAUUUUUCCAGAAUUAAUUCCACCUCCAAAACUGCAAUAAAAAAAACCCACAAGAAAUUCUUGAUUUUUUUUAAUUCUUUUUUUGUUUUUGAUAGAGUUGUCUCUCUACUCUUGAUACUUGUGAGGGGGUACUAUUUUGACUAGUUGAUAAUGCUAUGUUUUCUACUACAAGGGAGAGAAAAUAUUUUGUGAAUGAGAAGAAAGCAACUUAUGCCUGGCAGUUUAUGGUCAUGAAUAUAUUAAAAAAUGAGAAUGAUGAGUGGACGGUGGAGAUCUUACCACGUCGUCGGGGAAAACAUUCGCUGGAUUGAACCCGGCUUGUCGGGAAAGUGAUGUAAGGAGUGACGUAAUAAGGGAGGCAUGAUUGAUUUUUAGGCAAUUGGACAGAGCAUUAGGCUUUGUUUGCCUUUAUUUGGUUUGUUAGGCUCCACUGCACUAUUGAACAAUAGUGCAAAAGAUAUGACUAAUGAGAAUAAUUUUUGGUUUUUUUAUUAAAUUCAUUCUAAAAAAAUGAGGGAAAGAUUUAUAUACUUAUUUUGUUUGGCCCAAAAUUGAAUUGUAAUUUAUGUAAAGAAAAUUAAAUUCGUAUAACUUAGAAUAUUUACAAUGUUUUUUUUAUUACAAACAUCGCCAAAUGGCAAAGAUUGAACAUUACUAGGAGAUUAAUCGAAAAACGAACAAACAACCAUUUUAAAAUUGUCUAAUUAAAUCAUGUUUGGAAAAAGCAUAUCAGCAAAGUUAAUUAUAAAACACAAACAAUUGUAUUUUACACAAAUAUCGAAUACAAGGUUAACAUUUUUGCUUUUAAUGAUGCUAUUGGUUCUAUUUUCGUUUAGAAUAUAGAUCCAAUUGUGGUUUAUAAAAUCACAAUCAUAGAUCGCGGAUUCAUACCCACGCAUGACAAAGUAACUAUCUAAAUUAGCGUCAGAGCAAGAAAUUAGUCUAUUUAGGUGCCGAAGUUGUUUACUUUUUACUCUUUUUGUGUCGAAUUAAAUCUUUAUUUGGCAGUUUUUGGUCAAGCCCAUAAUUUUAGGUAUAUGCUUUCAAGAAUUUGUGGUUUCAAUUAAAUGAAAAAAAAAACGUUGGAACAAAGACUAUCAUAUGUCAAAAACGAUAGAAUGUCAAAGUUGUUAAAAAAUUACAUCAAAUGUCAAUUGGUAAACUUUUGAUAUGACUGCGAAAGAAGUUAACAAAGGUAUGUAAUAUGACUAUUUCUGCUGCUCAUAAAAUGCUUUGGUAAUGUCAACAAAUAAGCUAAAGUAGUUACUGAUUACGCUUUGCUUUGGAUAACGAUAUAUAUUAUGCAACUAAAGUACGGAAGAACCAUAAAAACUUUUAAGCAAAUUUUAAGUGCAAUAAGAUUAUUUUAAUAUUAAUUUUCUAGCCAAUUAGUCAAAAAGAAAAAUAUAGAACAACUAAAUUAUAUUAAAUUAGCCUAUUAGAAAAACUUUUAAUACAACAAAUGAUUAUUGAGUAACAUAUGAAAUAAUCAAAUAAAUGUGGUCCUAUCAGGUAAAAAGUUCCCAUGUUUUGGUUUUUACCUCUUAUUUUUAGAAGCCUUAUUUCAUCAUAAAGAUCUCACCAUCCUCACUGAAGUUUCUUGUCUACCAUGUUAAUCAGGUGAAGUGACUGUCUAUAUUUAUCAAAUUACUCCCUAUGAGAACUAAUUCUUCUUUAAUACAUCUUGAAUAUAAUGGAAUGCACUUUAAGAUUAUGUAUAAAGAAUUACAAGGAAAAUGUAUCAACAUCUUCAAACAAACCCCAGAAUUUUCUAAAGAAUGGACAAUGUAGUUUGUCUCAGUUAAUUAUACUACAUUUGGGUUAAGACAUGCCAAUGUCCUAUUUCUAAAUAAUUUUUUUUUUAAAAAAAGAACAAUGGGUUUAAUUUUCAUCUUUAAUGCUUUUAUUUGUCUCUAAAGUUAGUUUCACGCCAUAUUUCAAUCAUAUUUCAUAAUUCUAUUCGGAAUGUUAUCAUCAUUUUUCCCUUUAAAGGUAUAGAGCUCCUGAUGAUCUUAUAUUAUCUACAAUCAUCUAAACAUAAAGUUUAGUACUAUAGCUCAAAUUAUCAGGAUUUUUUCAAAAUGAAAAUGCAAAUUAUCUUAUUUGUUUGAAGACAUUAUUUGUCCGCUGUUUGAAUUAAACUGAUGGGACAUGACUGAAUUAUUACUCUUCUUUUUUCCUUAACGUGCAUGUGGUUCUUCUCAUUUGUUUCCCCCUUUUUAUGUUUCGUUUUCUUGUGUUCAUUUUAUUACUAAAAAGGGAACUUGUGAGGAUCAAAUUUUUGCUUCAAUGAGGUGAAUGCAUUUUUUGCCAACUUUUUGCUAAGAAACAUAAUAGAACAUCGCAAUGAAUUAUUACAGUUUAGUCCUUGGAAGUUUUGACACUUUCUCUUAUUUUUUUGGCUCCCACAUAUUUUCUUCUUUUAUUAGUUGUCAUUUGUUGGCCAAUUUGAUAAUUGAUGGACCAGAAAUGUCGUGUGUAUAUCCAAACUGACAGGCUUAUUUUGGCAUUUUAUCUUGUAGAAGAGACUAAGGUCCAAAUUUUAUUUCGAUUAAAAUAAAGCAAAAAAAAAAGUCUAGAGUGGCCUCUAGGCUUCUAAACAUAUUUAAAGAAAGAAAUUUCCGUGCUAUUCAAAAUUAUAAAAUUGGCCAAAGCGAGGGUUCUUCAAAAUUGAAAGGUACGACGACUAAAAUGUAAUUUCCUUUUAUCAUCUUCCUUUGUUAAAGAGAAAAAAAAUUCGUCUGAUUCUUAAAACCUCAACUUUUUGUUACAUUUUCUCCUACUUUGUUAGAAUUUUUUUUUUUCAGUAAUAGCUCUUUUAAUAUGUGUGGUAAAAUGAGCUCCAACUUUCUCCACAAAUUAGAAUCUAUUUUACUUUAGUGCUUCAACUUCAAUUAAUGAGCAUAAAAUACAAGUCCUUUCAAUUUUUCCGUAAUUCAACUAACUAACAUUAGCAGAGAAUGCAAAUGUUUUCCGGCAAAGAAUUUCAUGUGAUUUCGAAUAAAAUCAAGAGAUACAAUAGUUUGAUUUCAAUAUAUAUUUCUUUUGUCAUCCUUUUUUUUUUUGGGAUACACGACUCAUAUACUCAGUCAGAAAAUUACUUCUUGAUGUCUUAUUGUAAUUUGGCUGAAAAUUAUCUCCACUAAAAUAGGGUUCAAACUUCAAUCCAGUUAUUUCUUAACGGAAGAUCAAAUUCGAAUGCAACCUGAAAUCCAUUAUUGCCGAGUCUGCCGACCUAACACAUGAAAACACAGAAAGCAAAAGAAUGAAAAGGACCAUACGAGGCUGUACUGUCAUAUCCCAAACAAGAGGGGUCCUUUCAAACCAACCAAGUUCAAACCAACCAAGUCAAAAUCCCCUCGUGUGUAAGGGGCCAGUACAGCUCACACGUUAAGGCCCUUUUUUUUUGUUACUCACUGAUUUUAGCACUAGAUUCGGAGUAUCUACAAUUAUCAGUCACGAAUUUAGAGUAAAUUAUUAGCAAUAUAGUACAUCAACAACAAAUGUGUAUACUUAAACAAGAAAUAUAAAGCAAUAACAUAAAUUUCAGAGUCAUUGUCCAGAUACACAUGCCAUCGUGUGCAUUAAUUCUUUGAUGUAUAAAUCUAUGCUGUUGGAUUGGGACCUUAUCCACAUAUAGAUAAUAACAGGCAUAAAUGAUUUACCCCAGACAAUCCUAGUUUUUUUUUUAUAAUUUUUUUCCCAUUAACUCUUUGAUGUGUAAAUAGAUGCUGUUGGAUAGGACCUUAUCCACGUAUGGAUAACACAUAAAUGAUUUACCAAAAUAAUCCUAGUACUUUUUCUUUGAAAUAAAAAUUUUUCUGGUAGAAAAGGGGUGGGAUUUAAAAAGUGGAGAAAGGGAAGGGGAUUUAAACUUAGAAAUUCUAAUUCAUAAAAUGUUGACCUUAACUACUGAAUCAGGAUCUCUUCUACAUUGUUUGGGAGGCAAAAGUUAUUUCAAUGAUAUUGGCACAUAAGACAAUUUAGGAAAAAAAAUACAAUUUAGCUAUUAUAGCAACUGAGCUAGAAAAUCAUAAUUAAACACAACUAAAGCUAGUUUAUGUAUUAUUAAAGCUUUUUAGCACAGUUUUUGUUGCUUCUUAGUUUAACUUUUAUCAAUAAUUUAGGUUUUUGCUUUUUGUAGUGAAUGGUCAAGAUUGGAUUUUGGAUAGAUUUGGUUCAAAUGGCAUUUUGGCCAUUGUAAUAGUGAUUUAUUUAUUUAUUAAAUGGCUUCUCUUACUCCCUCUCCAUUAUUUUCUAUUUUUCUUUGCUUUCCUUCACCAAUGGCAAUUACACAAUGGGAUGUAAUAUCCAUGUUAUAUACUCUAAUAUGUUGACACUAUCCUCAUUAACCUUUGACAAUUAUACCCCCAAUUAAGUUCAAUUCUUGGAAAGGACACAUGUCAAUGCAUCAAAGUGCGUAACAUAAGUGUACAUAUUAGUGUGUAAUAGAAGGCCCAUAACCCUCACUAGAAGGUCCACCUAUCAUCAAUUAGAGCUCAAGGAAGUAUGAUGAUUGGUAGCAUCUAGCAAAUGGUGAAACAAAAAUAAGUGAAAAAGUGCCAACAUCUUAAGAAAAUCUAGACAAAAAAAUAUUGAAAAUUUAUGAAGAAUUGAUAAGAAAUUUUUGGAAAAAAUGGAAAGAAAGCACAUCUGCAAACAAUGAAAAUGAUAAGGGAAAAAGGGUGGAGGUUAGUCAAAGUUAUUAUGAGUUAAUACUUACUUUUGGUAAUCUUCAAAUUUAUUAUAAGUAAUAUUGAAUAAGGGCAAUAUGGAAACUUGGAAAAAAAUUAGAAAUUACAAUUGGUUAAUGUCAGCUGGUUUUCCACUAUUUGCACGUUGAAAUGGAUUUUCAAGUAUUGUUGAACAUGGUGAUUGGCAACGGAAGAGUGCCUUGGAAGCUAUGGAAGACUAUCUCGCGCAUCAAAACUUUAGCGUUGGGUCGCCAGGUUACCUUUACGCACACCUAUAGAGAAGCAAACGCAGUUGCAGAUGCCUUUGCAAAUCUAGCAAGCUUGACUUAGGUUAAAGUUUUUCUAGCAAAUCCAUGCAUGUUUGUCAAAGUUUUUCUACUUCUCAAUUGCCAAAGCAUAUAAAGGGGUUAGCCCGCCUAGAUAGGAUACAGAUGCCUUAUGUACGCUUGACUUAGGUUUGCGUCGAGGUUAUUAUGUUACUGGCGGAAUGUCAGCAUCAUCCGACGUACGCUGAUGGAAUUUUGAAUAAAAUUUGGAGUGGCGCCCAUCCCAGUAUACAGGGUUAGCCAAAAAAAAAAAAUAGAAAUUAACUCUUGACCCUUCUGCUUAUGCUUCAACUAUGAUAACUGUAGAUGUUGCAAGUGCUCACUUUGGUAAUAGAUUUUAAAUGUUAACUACUUAGGCAAAAAAGGCAAUUCAAAUAUACAUACAUACAUAAUGUAUUUAUGUAUGUAUGUAUGUGAGGCGGUAUAUACUGCAUGCAUACCACGUGGCCACUAAAACUAUAUAAAUUGUACUGAUCUCGAACCCAAACUGUGGGGGGGUUUGGGUUGUGGGGGGGGUAGGAAAAGGUUUUAACUUCCUAAAAAUAAGGGUGAUAUUAGUUGGUUAUUGAUAAUAACUAUAUUUAUCUUAAAAAGAUGGGAAAUCAUCAUCUGAACCAAUGUCUAUCCAACCAAAUUAGAUAGAGGUAAUUUUUAUCGCUUUAUCACAUUAUCUCUUAAUCUCUUUAUCACUCUCUCGCAUGAAAACCUAUAUGUAAAGAUACAUAACACAUAGAGAAGGGAUUCUUUUUCCUUAAGUAAAAACUCACUUGAGUGUUGCAGUGACCUUGGGGACUUGACUCUGAGGCUUCUCACAAAUUGGUCUCUUUUUUGUAGGUUUCUUAGAGAGUUCUACCUUCAUGUGACUGAACUCCCUUCUUACCUAUCUAGUUCAACUUGAUGGAAGGAAAUACUACUUAGACAAUCAGCACUGUCUAUGGGAAACUCGAUGAAAUAAUUUCCUUAUAACAAAGGCACACUCUAAGAAAACUGCUAGUAAUAUCAAUCAAAGUGACCUCGAAGAACCUCAUAAUGACUCUGGACAAACUCUAGGUGACAAUGAUGGUUAGAUUCUAGAAGAAAAGAAAGAGCAAAUUCUGAAAUGUGUAUCAGACAAUCUUCCUUUAUUUGAGGAUAUUGUUUGCCAGAUAAAAGAAAAAGGCAAGAUGGAAGAGGUGUAAAAUUCAAAAGUUGUGAUAAAGAGGAGAGAAGGGCAAGCUUUGUCCUCUGUUAAUAGCUCAACGAUAAUCAUCCCCCAAAAGUAAACAAGCCCAUUCUCCUUUUAGGGAUCACAUUUCUAUCUCAGAUGCUGAUCAGCACUGUUCUCAUCUCUCUCAUGGCUGAUCAAUAAAAAAUGCCAUAAGCCUAGGGAUCUAGUUCGAGACGAACUUGAUCUGAUCCUAUGACUAAAUCAAUAUGAAGAUCUUUACACAGUUUCUUCUUUGUUAAGGAAAUUGAAAAAUAUCCUCUACCAAAAAGAUUGAAAUUUUCAACUAUAGAUAUGUAUAAUGCAUCCAAAGAUCCAGAGGAUCAUCCAUUCUUGUUUCUUACCCAUAUGCGACAAUAAACUAUUGCAAAUGAGAUUCGUUGCAAAACCUUUCCUAUGUUUUUGAAGGGAAAAACUAGGGUUUGAUUCCAAGGACCUCCAAGACUAGUCAGGCCUUUUCCUGAACUAGCUAGGCAAUUUGCAUCACAAUUCAUCUCUUUCAAAGUCUACUCCAAGAAUGCAACACAUUUAAUGGCAACAAAGUAUAGGCAUGAUGAGUCCCUAAGGAAUUAUAUGACUCGUUUUAAUAACAAGAGUCUCCAAGUUUGAGAUAAAGAAAAGAAGGUGGUGAUGGCAGCAUUUAUAAAUGGCUUAAGAAUUAGUGAGUUAUAUUAUAAACUUGCUAAGAAACCACUUAGGACAUUGGAAGAACUACUGAAUAGAGUUUACGCUACUGCUAAUGCAGAAAAGGCUUCUCAUUUUAAACGAGAAUCCAAAAGUGGCCAUGAGGAUAAGCAAAGAAAGAAUGGAAAUGUUGAUCCUUAAGAUGAGCAGACUAGGAGGAACGUUUUUGACCGGCUUUUCAAGAGGAAGAGUUUGUCCCAAGAAAAGGAUAACACCAAGAUCUUAAACCUUGGUAGUGAUGGAGGCAGAAGGUGUUAGAAGAAGGCCUCCUAAGAUGUCUGAUUUUAGAAAUAAGAGGAAUAAAAACCUCUGUUGUGCUUUCCAUAGAGAUAUUGACCAUGAUACUGAGAAGUGCAAGGAUAUAAAAAAGGAAAUAGAGGAGUUGAUUAAGCAAAGAUACUUGGAAUAGUUCAUUCAAAAAAACCAAGCCUUCCAAAGAGAAAGAAUGGAUUAUCUUCCGAACAAUUGAGAUAACAGAAGAGGAAACAAUGGAUGAGAUCAACAAAUACCACCAUGAUAUCGUUCACCAGAUCAUGACUCACAAAACCUGGCUAGAUUCAUCAAUAUAAUACCUACAGGAUCACUAGUGGGGACAAUCAUUCAGCCUGGUAAAACAACCGAACUCCACUAGAAGAGGAUAAUUCUACCAAACGAUUGAAAGCAAAUCAUAUAAGGUCCUGAGGAUUCUGUUCCAUUGACAUCGAACAAUCAUGAGACAACUAUCAUAAAUAUAAUCACUAAUAAUUUUAAGGUAAAGAAUGUAUUCAUAAAUCUUGGAAGCACAGUGGAUAUGUUAUAUUAUAAAACCUUCAAGGACCUUAAACUUUAAUCCAGUUAGGACACCAUUGGUGGGAUUUGCUAGUCUUUCUAUAAAAUUUGUAGGGAUGAUUACUCUAAUGGUGACUGUUGGAAAAGUGCCUAAAUGCUGAACUGCCCUAAUUAAUUUUGUGGUUGUUGAAGAACCUUUGUCAUACAACAAUUUGCCCGGCCCACUUGUUUUCAAUGCUUUAAAAACCCUCACCUCAGCUUUGUAUUAGAGCAUGAAAUUUCUCACCCCUAGCGGGAUAGCAAAAGCUCAUAGAGAUCUUGAGGUGGUUAGCGCAUGUUAUGUAGCCACCCUCAAAGGGAAGGAAAAAUUGGUUGAUCGGAUGACCAGUUUGAAUCCCUUUGUACUCGAGAAAAAGGGAAAAUAGCUCGAAACUGAGGACACCAUAGAAGAAUUCCCAUUAAAAUAGGAAAAGUUGGAUCAGGUGAUUAAGAUUAGGUCUUUUCUAUCCCAACACGACAAGAAACAGUUGAAGAAACUGCUGAAGGAAUAUGCUAAAAUAUUCACUUGGACAGUUGAUCACAUGCCAGGAAUACCAAUAAAGCUAGAUGUCCAUAAGCUGAAUAUGGACCUAAGUGCUAAACCAGUAAAGCAGAAGAAGCAAAAUUUUGCCCCAAAAGAAAUGAAAUUAUUAAUCAGGAGAUGGAAAAAUUUUUAGAAUCUCAGAUCAUAACUUAGGUAUACUAUUCGAGAUGGUUGCUAAUCUAGUAUUGGUGAAGAAAAAUGAUAAAUCUUGGAGGUUGUAUAUAAACUUCACUGACCUGAAUAAGGCAUCUCCAAAGGAUUGCUACCCAUUUCCUCGACUGGACCGGUUAGUAGACUUUACUAUUAGAUAUGAUAUUUUUUAUUUUCUAGAUUCUUUUAAAGGAUAUCACCAGAUGGAGAUGGAGGAAAGCGAUAAAGAGAAGACAUUUUUUAUUAUCGAAUGUAGUAAAUGCUAUUAUAGAACUAUGUUAUUUGGAUUGAAAAAUGCUGAAGCUACUAUCAAAAGCUAGUGAACAAAAUUGUGUCACAAGCUAAUCAGUAAGAACAUAAAAGUGUAUGUAGACAACAUAUUGGCAAAGAGUCAGACUACUUAAUAACUUAUUUCUGACCUAAUGGAGGUUUUUUAGAUUUUACAUAAUAGCAAGAUGCGUCCAAAUCCUAAAAAGUGUACAUUUGGGGUGAUGUCUAAAAAAUUCCUAGGACAUAUAAUAUCCAAAAAUAGAAUACGAGAUAAUGCAGAUAAGUUCAAUAUUAUCAUAAAAAUGGCCUCUCCAAAAAAUGUCAAAGAAGUACAAAGGCUCACGGAAAGGAUGACAGUAUUGAAUAAAUCUUUAUCCAGGUCGAUAGCACGAGGACAUCCUUUCUUCAAAAUGCUCAAAGGUGGCAUCAACUUUGAAUGGAUGAAGGAGAGCCAGAGGGCCUUUGAAGAGCUAAAAAGGUCUCUAGUAGAGCUGCCUACUCUUACCUCACUUGAAUAGGGAGAAACUCUGGCUAUCUACUUGUUUGUGUGCGAAGAAACUAUCAGCGCUAUCUUAAUGCGAGAAAGCCAGUGUAUUCAAAAACCAAUAUACUAUGUCAACAGAGCACUUCAUAGGGUUGAGAUGUUGUAUACACCUACAGAGAAACUUGUCUUAGCUCUUGUUCACGUAAUUAGAAAACUUAGACCUUAUUUUCAAAUUCACAGUAUAGUUGUUAGGACAAAUCAACCGCUUAAACACAUACAAACAAGAUUGGAGACGUUGGAAAGGAUGACGAAAUGGGCUGUUGAGCUAGUUGAAUAUGACAUCUCUUACAAGUUAAGAACAGCAAUAAAAGCACCAGCUUUAGCUGAUUUUAUAGCUAAAAGAGUAGCCAUGUAUCAAAUAGAAGCAAAUGUAGCCAGAAUAAAACUAGAUCGGCAUGGACUUUAUUUGUGGAUAGGAAUUUCAAUAAGGAAGGAUGUGGAGCAGGAUUAUUGCUGAUGAGCCCAACAAGAGAAAAGCUAACAUAUACUUUAAGGUUUGAUUUUAAAGCAUCCAAUAAUGAAGUGGAGUAUGAGGUGCUAAUAACCGUAAUGAAGUUAGGUUGACAGGUAGGAACGACUUUCUUAAAAAUUCAUAAUGAUUCCAAAAUUAGAGUUAAUCAAGUGAAAGGAAACUAUGAGACUAAGGAAGAUUCAAUGAAGUACUUAACGAGAGUUCAAAAAAUGAUGGCAAUAUUUGAGAAAGUAAAGGUGAAACAGAUUUCAUGUUUCCAAAAUAAAAGAGCAGAUGCUUUGUCUAAGUUAGUUUCUUCUUCCUCUACACAUCUCAACAAGAAAGUUUUAAUAGAAGUGGUAAAACAGUGUAGUUAUGAGCAGCAAGAAAUUUAAGCAAUCUCUAACUCAAAUUCAUGGUUGUAACUCGUAGUUAAAUAUUUUAGCUCGAGAAUGCUGUAAAAAAAUAAACAGGUAGAAUAAAACUGAAAGCAACCAAGUAUGUCUACACUCAAGAAACUUUUUAUAGGAGGUCUUAUUUAUCUCCAUGGUUGAGGUGCAUCACCCCGAAAGAAAAAGACUAUAUGCUCUGGGAGAAUCAUGAAGAGAUAUGUGGAAGUCACAUUAGAUCAAGGAUGUUAGUAAAAAAGUGUAUCUAAUGGGCUAUUACUAGCUCACCAUCUUUAAGGAUGCUUUCGAUCUGGUGCUGAAAUGCGAAGCAUGUCAAGUACAUACACUAAUUCAUCAUUAUCUUACUCAGAAAAUAUUCUCCAUCCAAAGCCCUUGGCCUUUUACUCAAUAGGGGAUAGAUCUACUGGGACCCUUUCUCCAAACUCCUAGAGGUUAUAAGUAUUUGGUGAUGGCCAUAGACUAUUUUACUAAGUGGAUAGAGGCCGAAUUCUUGAGUUCUAUACUGAGGAGAGCAGUUCAAAAACUUUUCUAGAAGAAUAUUGUGUGUCGGUUUGGGAUAUCACACAUGCUAAUCUCAGAUAAUAACAAAUAGUUCAUAGAAAAACCCUUUAAGGAGUGGUAUGAAGAGCUAAAAUAAAAUACCAUUUCACUUCGAUAGGACAUCAACAAGCUAAUGGAUAGGUGAAAAAUAUAAACAAAAUAAUUUUGUUCGGGUUGAAAACUAGGAUAGGGCAAACAAGGUUGGGAUAAUUAGAUAAAUUGCCUAACAUAUUGCAGCCUUACAAAACAACUCCAAGGAUAGCAACCUGUGAAACCUCGUUUGCAUUGAGUUACAAGGCAAAAGCAGUUAUACCAACAGAGAUGGGCCUUCCCUCUCCUAGAGCUCAGAAUUUCAUUUUGAAAGUCAAUAAUGAAGAAAUGAGAUAUAACUUGGAUAUGCUCGACCAAAAUAGAGAUGAAACUAUAAUAAGGAUGGCUAAAUAUAAAGAACUAGUAGGUCAGUACUAUAACACUAAAGUUCAAUAAAAGAGCUUCAAAGUAGGAGAUCUUGUUCUAAGGAAGAAUUCAGUUAGCCGUGUAUUUGUAACUAAUAAAUUAGAUCCUAAUUGAGAAGGUCCGUACAUGAUUAUAGAGAUAGACAAGCUGAAUAUUAUAAACUAGCUUGGCUCAAUGGGAAAGAAAACCCAUGCACCUGGAUCAAGAUUUUGUACUUUCCAUUUGUUUGAAAUAAAGAUAUCUUUUUUAGUCCAAAUUCUUAUUAUAUAUGACCACUUGUAAUUUAAAUUGGAUAAAUUCUUAAUUAUUCAGUAAGCAAGUGACUCUAUGCUUUUAACUUAGUAUAUUUUGAAAUAUUUUCUACGUAUACUAGGAGGUAAGACAUGUUACAGAGGAAAUAUAAAAUAGGAAGGAGUUCAGUGAAAGAAGUCAAUAAAGAAGAAAUGUACAACAAAAUUUUCAUUGCAGGGUAAAAUAUUUUGUACAACAAAAUAUUAACUAUAAGGGAAGGAGAUCCUAGACUAUGAAUUGUUUAUCGUUAGCCUUGCUAGUGACCUUUUCCUCACAGAUAGCGUUGCCCUGUUCAGUCUUCUUCUUCGAGUCCUACUCGAUUUGCUCAACUAACUCAAGCUCAGGGUUGGUUAGAACUUUCUCCAGCUUGUAGCCUAUAGUGUAACCAUCAACCAACCUGUCAAGCUUUUCGUUCGCUUGAAGAUCAUAGUUCAAAUACUUUGACAGGUUGAAACUUGGGAGGUGUAUUGCCUCAACUUCAGCUAGCACCUUGGAGUAGCCAUAUUGAAAGGUUGGUUUGCUGAGAGGGGAGUGAAUAAAUUCUCUGAUGGCCUUCCUCUCUUCCUUUUGGAAGGACUUAACUAACUCGACAUUGUAUUUUCCUUCCAAUUCAGCAUAACUCUUUUGAACUUCUUGUAAGUUGGCUUGAAAUAAAGCAACUAGGGUAUAAGAGAUCGUCAGCUCGUCCUGUGCCUUCUAGAAGAAAGUCGAGCUCCUUCUAUGCAAUGUUGAGCUAUUUCUUGAGGGUCUGAUUCUUCUUGGUCACCUUCUCCAGAUCAGGCAUUUGCUUUUCAAAGCAGCGAGCCACCUCCAUACCUAAUGUAUUUUCCUUAGAGAAACAUGGUAAUCAAAUUAGUAAAGAAAAGUGAAAACUCUUCUUAAAGGGAAACUUUCUUAAGAAAAAAAAAAAAAGAGGACCAAAGGCUGUGGCUUCUUACUUGAGCUCAAGCAGAAUAAAAAAGUUCAACAACUCAGAGUUAGAAGCCAACUCCAUGAAUCUCUUGUCUUUAGACAACACUAAACUAUGAGUGAACUCACAAGUACCAUACGGAUAUUUGGUCUAGCUGUUGAUAAAAAAACCCCCAUUGAGACAAAAGUGGUGGGAAUCAUGGACAGUGGGAUGUUGGCUAGACUUCAAUGGUGCCGCAUACCUAAAGUGCCAUGUUGAUUGGGCAGCAUAUGGUUUGCCUGUUGCUCAGCCAAGCUAAGCCCAUAAUGGACUGUCACCCCUACAUCAGAACUUUUCUGGCAACCUACUGAGUUGCAAUUUAGGUAACUUCUUAGGGGGAGGAAGUGGUUGGUUAUCCUCUAGGCGACCCCUCUUGAGAGCAAUAUUUCACCCUUAUUUUGCCCCUUACCCUAAUCAGCAUCUAUAAGGGGCUGAUAGGAGGAAAGCUGACCUACUGGGUAGGAGAGCCAUCUUGCUACUGGUUGGCAGAGGGUUGGGUAGGAGUUCUAAAGGACAGGAGUUGAGAGAAUCAUUUCACUGUAAAAAGAAAAAAAUAGGGGGUCAAAACUCUAAAAAAGAGAGAGAAGAAAAAAGAAAGGAAGAGAAAGAAAAAUUUACAAUUCUAGUAUUUCUUUUGGGGUAAAUCCCUAUCCUGGUCAUUGGACAGAGGACUGACUAAUCCAGCCAUUGCAAUUUGUUUAGUAUAGAACUCCUUAACAUACAAUUUGACUUUGGAAUUUAGGAGCAAAUCAAAGGCAUCCAUGUCUAGGUCAGCAAGAUAGGGAUAGGUUUUGAGUUCUACUACCUUCAAAAAAUUAGGAGGAAAGAAGUCGAUUUUUACAAAGAAGAAUUCAUUCUUUCACCUUUUAAUGGAUGAAAGAACUCCAUAGAAAAUAUCUCGAGUGCAUUUGUUAUCUUUGCUAUAGAAAUGCCUAGCAAAGUAGAACCACCCAGAUGGAGAUGUUUUGAGCAUAUAGUAUACUCAAAAUAGGGAAAGGGAAUAAGAAAUUAUACAAAGGUAACAGUAAAUGGGGAAGUUUAUAAUGGUUCUAAUGGAGUUGAGGUGAAACUAGGUGAUUCAAAUCUCUUAGUAAGCUAGGGUGUCAAAAAAAGUAAGAGGAAUGGAAGCCUAAGCCUUGAGACAAGUUGCUCCCUAUAAAUGGCGACAUAGCUGGGAAGAGGUAGGUUGAAUCUUUAAUCAAGGCUAGCUACCUGAACUCUAAAGGAUUCUAUGAUGGAGUAGGUGGCAACUUGUUUGUCCAUGUCCCCUUGAAAAAGAGUAGAGGAUAAAUUGGAAGCAUGACAAAAUCAGUGGAGUCGGGGUCAGGUUGGUCUGCUUCGAUCUCUAGGUGGUAACUUUGGUUACUAACACUUGAAAUGCAUAAUAGGCAUGGGCAUAUAUAUAUAGGCAUGGGUAUUAUACAUAAUAUGCACGAGUAUUUCAAAAUGGCUCCGUUUUCAAAAUUGCUAACACUUGAAGUGCAUAAUAGACAUGAGCAUAUAUAUAUAGGCACGGGUAUUAUACAUAAUAUGCAUGAGUAUUAUGUGUGUAUAUGUGUGUGUAUAUAUAUAUAUAAACACACACAUACUAAUAAUUAUUACCAUUUCUUGUAUUUAUAUACUUUAUCUAUAAUCUUAUAUUUCAAAAAAUCUAACACUUGAAAUGCAUAAUAGGCACAGGCAAAGAUACUAAUAGAGCAAUAAUUAGUUGCCUGAGCAAUUUUCUGAUUGAAGGAUAGUUUUGCCCAUUGUUAAAGUUUUAACUCAAUUGCAAGCUUUUGGGACAUAUUCGGCUAACCCUCAAAAUCUCUCCGUCCGAUUAUCUGCCAAGAUUUGAAGCUCCAAAACCAGCCAUGGUGCUUUGUUAGAUCAAUGAUCCUUCAUUAUCUUUGUUAAAUGUAAAUAUAGUUACUGACUAAUUCAUAUUUCUAGAGUUUUCUAUCUUGUAUCUAGUGUGUUCUACCAUCCACUAACCACAUGUAUUUACAACAUCUACUAGAUAUGACAACCACUUCAUUAUCAUAUCUUACCAUACCUAUAUUAGGCACCUCAUGUACUUGUAAACACACAAUUUUAUCUAAUACAACAUUCUCUUCAUUUUCUCUUCUCUCUAUUCUAUCACUCUCUACUCUCCACUUUGUUAUGGUAUUAGAGCUCCAACUUGGAGCCUGAUCUAUAACUUUUCUUUGGUUUUCUUUUCAUUAUAAAUUUUGAUCUAAUACAACAAUCAUCUUGAAACCUCUUACACCCAGUUAGCGUCAAGACAUUAUUCAAUUAGGCGGUACAUCAUUACUGAGUCAGCACUUAUCCGAAUGGCAUCUAAUCCCGAUUUCGACAUCUCUCAUCCUACCACCAUUGUUUUCAAUAGUGCUAAUUAUGGAUUAUGGAUGUCCACAAUGAGCAGCUUUCUUAAAGGUUACAAACGGUGGCGAGUCAUCACAGGAGAGUGCGUCAAACCCACCUGAGAAAAGGAAGAAUCUUCUGAUAAAUAUGCUGAUAGAUUGGAAGAAUAGGAUAGUAUCAAUUACAAAAUCAUCUCUUAGCUAAUCAAUACUUCAACUCCCUCCAUUGGUGCCCAUUCACAUAGUUUUGAUAUUGCAAAAGAAGCUUGGAAUUUUUUGGUAAAAAGGUAUACCACAGCUGAUUUGGCUUAUCAAUAUCAACUUGCCACUAAAAUACAACAGUUUCGUCAAGAGCCAAGUCAGUCCAUUGAUUCUUUUCGCUCUCAAAUGAAUAAUCUUUGGGAUCAGUUGGCUAUCUCUGAACCUGAAUGGCGAUGUCUUGAAGAUGCUGAACUUUUUAUCAAAUAUAAAGACAACAUGAGAUUAGUUCAAUUUUUAAUGGCUUUACGUGAUGACUAUGAGCCUAUGCGGGCAAAUCUUUUACACUGUCAUCCUUUGCCUACAUUUCGAUCAACUUUAGCUAAAUUGAUCUCAGAAGAAACUCAUCUUCAUAGCAUGAAUUCUAAAAUUACUAAAAUUUUUAUGGCAUCCGCUUCAAAAUCACACGCCUAACAAUUUUAAGGGGAAAAAUCUUACAAAUCUAAGAAACAAUGUAACUACUGCAAAUAAUGGGGACCACAAAAAAUGAGUGUUGUAAAUGCUAAGCAAUUUUACGUCAAGAUGGGUAGAAACUUAUGGCAGCUGUCCAAUCAAGUGGAACUUCUAAUCGAAGUACCAUCACACCCUAUGCACCAUUGACUGCUGUAGAUUUAGAGGCUGUAGACACCAAAUUUUUAAAUAAUUUGUAUGUUGCAUCUAAUUCAUGAUUUUGUUUUAGAUUGUCUGCAUUUUAGUUGUUACCUUUUUAUUUGUCUUUUAUUUGCUAAUUAUUUGUCAUAUUAAUUUUGUUCACGUUUUAGUUUUAGUUUUAGUUUUAAGUUUUAACGUAAAAUUUGUGAAAAAAGAAAAGAAAAGAAAAGAGGAAAUUGAUGAAAAAUGGAAAAUUGUGCUUUGUGGAUUCUAGUUUAUUUAGAUUUAGUUUCUAUUCAAUAAAUCAAAAAAAAAUCAAAAAAAAUCAAAAAAUCACAAUUCUAUUUCUGCCGGCUCCAUUUUCCACUUCUCAACCUAGCACCUUCCAUUGUUAUUGCCGACUCCACUCCACUCCACUCCACUCCCAAUACCUCAAUAUAUACAUCCCACUACGCUAUAUCAUUGCCAGUUCACUACAAUCAUUAUCACUCACCAUAACAUUUUAUUUUUUCAAUUGUUCCUAUGCCGGGAGCUGUGAAGUGAUCAGCUUCUUUGGAAAUAACGACGAGAGAGAGAGAGGUGAGGACUUAGCUUAUCUUCCAGCCUCACUUCAAGACCAACCGAGAGAGGGAGAGAGAGAACCGAGAGUCAAACUUCCUCCAAUCCAGCCGCAAGUUUGAGCCAGGGAGAGGGAGAGUUGCGGACUGCAAUUCUGGACAGCCGAGAGUGGAGGAUUUGCAGCUGCUAGUCGUGUGUUUUAGGCUUCAAGCUAAGGUAAUUUCUGAACUUAGAUGAGUUGUUUAUGGGUUGAUGAAGCUGACUAUAAGCAUGCAUGUGGGAUUGUGUGGUUAGAUGAUAGGUUAAAUCAUAGAAAAAUCUGUUUGAGAAGGAAGUGAAGCUGCCGAGAGCUUGAGCUGGAAGUUUCGGUUUUUAAUUUGCUAGCUGUGAUGAUCUGAGCUUAAUUUUGGACUCAACCUGAUAGAUAGUUUCUUAUUUGAUGUUGCAUGUGAACUACGUGGCCUGAAUUUCGGUUGCAUGGCUGGAAAUUUUAAUGGAAGUUGAUGGAUUGCUGAAACAAUUUUUCCAGUUUAGCCGUUGAAGUUGUUUUGGAAAUUGCAUGGGUAUUUUAGCAUGAAAUUUGCUGGAAAGUGGUUGAUUUUCACUUGGUUAGGUGUUUGACUAAUUAAAAUUAGAUGAUUAAGCUUUGCAGGAAGUUUAUUGGUCCGGCUAAAAAAAAAUGAAAUAGUGAACGGCUACAUGCAAGUUCAUCCAAGGAUGGCGAACAGAAUUUCUGGAUUUGUGGAUGUUUAUAGUUGCUGUCCGAACUUGAUCUGAACUAGAAAUGAUAGUAAUUUCAUUAAGUAGCCUUGCAUGUUAGUUUUGGGUACUUAACACAAUGAUUUAACCGAGGUAAAUUCGGAUUCAUGCCCAAGUACUUGCUGGAAAAUGCAUUUCAACUUGCCAAAUCAGUUUUAUAUGUUCCAGAUUUUUCAACUUGCUGAACGUAUUUUAUUUGUAUUUGCACUGGAUUUUGCUCAGUUUUUUUUUCUAUUUGUUUGGAUGAUGGUUUGCUGCCUAGUUUAAAGCCUUGUGUUUGGAUUUGAUUGUGUUUGAAAGCUGGAUUUUGUAAAGAGUGCCGAAUUGCAGAAAGCUUGCUGCGUUUUUUUCUGUUUCAUUCUUGUGCUGUUUAGUUUUCUUUCUACCUUUGAUGAUUAGCUCCAUUUUCUUGUUUCAAUGCUACAAUGAAGUUACAAGUUUAGUUGGUGAUUGGUAGUUAAAACUCUGAUAUAUGGUGAACACAUUUGUAUGUUGAAAUGCAAGAAAAGCUGCGGCUGAAGGUGCACAAAGCCAGAUUUGCUUCUUUUAUUAUUGAUGGAUAAUGAAUUUCCUUCCUUUGUUGAUGAUCAAAACCAGAUUUGCCAUCUUAAUCUUGCACCCAAAAUUUCAUGUUUUAAAUUGGGUCAAUAAUUUCUGGGUUGAUGAAUUUGUUUUGCAUGAUAAAAAUGCGAAAGAUUGCGGCUGGAAAUUGCUGCUGCACUUUGUUUUUUUUAGCAGUCACCGAACUAUAUUUUGCUUGUUUGAGCAUGUUAAAUGGUUUAUGUCUUGGGGUAUACUAGUGGGUAACAUGCAAUAUUUGCCUCAUUAUGUUUUGAUUUGAGCUCAUGGAUGGUCUGUACAAAGAGUAAGCCACAAAUUUGCAGCAGAUUAUAAGAAAGUUUUUUUUUUUUCAUUUUUCUUCGCAUGAGAGGCUGCCAGAAUUUGUAUUUGGAGUUGUUGGCCUGUUGAGUUACGCUUGUCUUUGAUUUAAUGUUGAAGCUUGGAUCGAUUGGCUGAAUUUUUAAUUGUGCUAGGAGUGCAUUUGAGCAACUCGGUAAUGCAGCAAUUCACCAAAACUGGUUUAGUUGUCUACCUUGCUAGUUUUCAGUUUUGGCCGCAUGAAAUAGGAAGAACAAGUCAAAGUUGCUGGAUUUUGUUUUAGCAUUUGAAUAUUCUUGUUUUCUGGAUUUUUGCGUUCCGAAGAGGGGGAAGAAUGUUUGAUCUCCUUACAAGUUUUUUUGUUUGUUGGAUUGUGUUUGCAUGGUAGAAUGGAAAGAAGCCACGGCUGGAAAUGAAAUUUGUUGCAGAGAAAGUUUCUUCUACGUGAUUGCAUGGCUUUUGCAUGAAAAUGACUUUCAAAAAUCGCACUCCAACCCCUUGGCUUCCAUCUAAUGCUUCCAUGGCCCAAUUAAUUGGAAACUUAAUUAAUUUUGUCCUCCUAACAUGCCAUUUCCUCUUUAAUACAUCUUGAUUUGUUUUGGGUAGAUACUUAAGGGAUUGUAGAAUGAAUUUGAAGGGUCUAAUAAUUUCUUUUUCCUACACUUGUAGUUAAUUUGAUUUUUUUUGGAUUCUUUGGCAUUUGGUUGUUUAGCUACUAGUAAAUUGCUCCUCGUUUACCUUUUUGUGAAUUUUCUAGUUUGAUUUGGUAAGUUUCACCUUAGAUUCUUAAUUUUAUUUUAUGUUUUUUAGUUCCUUAGUGUUUAUAAUAGUAAUAAAUUGGCCCUUUAGACCUCUUUAAUUUUUUUCCAAUUGGGUUUUUGUUUGUCUUAAUUGGUUAAGUACGAGUAGUUUACUUUCCUUGGAAUGCUUCGAGUGAUUCAAUUUGACGGUUGUUUCCAUUUUCUUUUAAUUUUUCUCAAUUAAAGUGGUACCUUGACCUUUUUUAUUGUUUUGAAGCCAUUUUUCUUUCAUUUGGUCACCAUUCAAAGGGGGCGGUAUAUUUUCUUUUAUCCCUUUUUGUGUCUCUUCUAUGUGAUCCAACGUGUUACGUGGAAAUUACAUGACUAUUUGCUUUCAUUGCCUUUCUUUAGUUCUUUCAUUUCAUUUACUUUUGCUUUUAUUUAAGUUCUUCUUUAUGGGGUAUGUGUACACCUCUUGGCUUGUAAUAGAUAGGGCUUGGAGGAGCAUUCAAUGAAGACCUAUCGAAGACGUGUGCCUAGCUAGCAAAUGUAAUAGUUAGGGCUUUAAUUGCCUAUGUGUUAUGUGUUACUUGCUUUAAUUAGGUUCUUGCAUCUAGUUGAGCAUGCUAAGUGUUAUGUGCUAUGUGUUUAUAAGUGUUUGGCAUGUCUACUCGCUUUCCAUGGUCAUGAAUGAAUGUGAUGGACGAAUGUACGUUUCCACUAGUCCAACGCUAGUCGGAAUUCAUAGAAUGGGCUAGUCCAACGCUAGACCCUUAGGGAUUUCCCCUCGUUAGUACAUGUUUGCAUGUUCAUUACAUGUCAUGCAUUCUUUUAGUUUUAUCAUUUUGCAUGCCUCUCGACCCCCUUUUCCCUCCAUUUUAGGAUUUUUGCAUUUCAUGCUAGUUAUAGGGUUCAUUUGCUUGAGAGUCCCCUUAAAUAUGGGAUAUAGACGAGUGUGGCUUUUUCUAAGCCUUAGCACGCUUGUAUUCCCUCUAUAAAAAGGUAAAUUGAGUCACGAUUUAGGUCUCCCCGUAC